GCCUCGUUCGCGCGCGCAUUGUGAGCAUUCAAGUUUCGUUUUUUGCACUUGCUUAGAAGCUGAAAUUGCCGACAUUGCGGGGUUGGGCUUGAUGACAUUUGUUGCUCAGCUGCCGCGACGCAUUUGGAGCAAAGCUUCUGCUUAUUUCCUGGCCGCACCUUAUAUUUGUUGCCUUUGUCAACAUCUGACCUGUUUCUGCCUUGUUGAAAGCAAGUGGCCACAAGUACUGCUUAGUUAGCUCAGUAUAUACCUGGCUGCUGUGUUUCAGCUAAAUCUGCUUUUCCUGUGUCCAGUGGCCUUGUCGCUCAAUUAGUGCUUGCCAAUUUCCAUUACACUGCAACCCACUAAAAAUAUGAAAUUUUAGAAUAUGAUGCCUCCCCUCUCUUCCCUUGUCCUUCUGACCUUUCACUCUGCUGCAAGCUUUUAGAUUUCAAUGCUUAAAUGAUUAAUACAAAAAUUCAUGCUACCAUAUUAUUUUAUGGCUAUCAUGAUGGCAAUAAUUUAGGUGAACCUGAAACUAAAUGAGAAAAUAAAAUAUGCAUGUGUGAGUAGGACUGACUGUUCCUGGUUACUGGCUCUAUGCUAAAUUUGAGGUCUUUGCCUCAAGGAAAUGGG
rnacentral:lncRNA from 1 species